rnacentral:lncRNA from 1 species
CCCGCCCCGAGGCUGUCGCGGGCGGUUAGGUCCGGCGGGAGCUUCUGUUUCACUGGCGCGCCCACUAUGACGAUCACCUACAGCUGCAUUGCUAAUGGCCGAAUGGUCUUAGCGGAGUUGGCCCUGACCGGCGGCUCCUAUCAGGAAGCAGCGUCAACAGUGCUUAGACUAGUGCUUCUUAGAGCUGAACCAAAGACCGUAAUUCAAAUGGGAAGCUUCGUCUACCAUACUCUCUUUAUUGAUGGAAUCACUUACCUAUGUGCCUCAGACAAUGCCCUGGAUACUGUAACACCAUCUGCAUUUCUCAAAAAUGUUAGUGAUACUUUUCUGAGAAAUCCUUUGCUGUCAGAAGAAUAUUUUUCUCCUUCAAAUGCAGUUGCUGCAGAUUUUCAACAAGUAUUAGGAAAGUAUAUGGUAAAAUACAAUAAAAACCAAGAUAACAGCUCUAUAUCCACCCUGAGGAGUCAAGUAACUGAUGUAAAAAAUGCUAUGACCCAAAAUAUUGAUAAAAUUUUGGAGAGCGAAGAAAGAUCAAAUAUCUUCCCCGACAGUACAGAUGAUCUUCAAACAGCUGUCAAAGAAUCCCAAAAAACAAGACAGAUUCUUAGGAGGAUAUGGUGGAAACACUUCAAAAAGAUUAUAAUCAUCACUGUGGCAAUUCUCCUUUCAAUCAUCAUCAUUCUUUUAACUACAAAUGUAAUACCAAUCUGACCUUUCUUCUCCCCAUCCCCAGCAGAUUAUAGGUAAUUGACAGCAGUUAACAGGCCAAGCAGACUCAAUUUGUACAACUGGAUUAUUCAUCUUGCUAGAAUUGUUUUAUGGAAAAUUUCAGGCUAGACUCCUGAACUAAGUAUGGCCAGUAUUGAAGAAAGGAUAAAGUAUGCACCCUUUUCAACUUCAUCAGAAGUAGGUUGGUAAAAACUACUUUUUAGGAAUACUUUCGGGUCAUUCUUAAUUAUUAACUAUUAAUGCACUGAUACAUUUCAGUAUUAAGUAAACGGCUCUCAAAGAAAUUUACUAAGAUGUGUCAAUAUAUUAUGCAUGGAUCUAGAUUUUGACAUUUCAGGUUAAUCUGACCCCAAAACCAAAUAAACUCAUUAUACAUUUCAAGACCAACAAAAUACUGUGGUGGACAGUG